AAACCAACAGGGAUUGCUCUAGUAACGGCGAGUGAAGCAGCAAUAGCUCAAAUUUGAAAUCUGGCGCCUUCGGCGUCCGAGUUGUAAUUUGUAGAGGAUGCUUCUGGGCAGCCACCGACCUAAGUUCCUUGGAACAGGACGUCAUAGAGGGUGAGAAUCCCGUAUGCGGUCGGAAAGGCACCCUACACGUAGCUCCUUCGACGAGUCGAGUUGUUUGGGAAUGCAGCUCUAAAUGGGAGGUAAAUUUCUUCUAAAGCUAAAUAUUGGCCAGAGACCGAUAGCGCACAAGUAGAGUGAUCGAAAGAUGAAAAGCACUUUGGAAAGAGAGUUAAAAAGCACGUGAAAUUGUUGAAAGGGAAGGGAUUGCAACCAGACUUGCUCGCGGUGUUCCGCCGGUCUUCUGACCGGUCUACUCGCCGCGUUGCAGGCCAGCAUCGUCUGGUGCCGCUGGAUAAGACUUGAGGAAUGUAGCUCCCUCGGGAGUGUUAUAGCCUCUUGUGAUGCAGCGAGCGCCGGGCGAGGUCCGCGCUCGGCUAGGAUGCU
rnacentral:rRNA from 1 species